rnacentral:rRNA from 1 species
CCUACGGGGGGCAGCAGUCGAGAAUCAUUCACAAUGGGGGAAACCCUGAUGGUGCGACGCCGCGUGGGGGAAUGAAGGUCUUCGGAUUGUAAACCCCUGUCAUGUGGGAGCAAAUUAAAAAGAUAGUACCACAAGAGGAAGAGACGGCUAACUCUGUGCCAGCAGCCGCGGUAAUACAGAGGUCUCAAGCGUUGUUCGGAAUCACUGGGCGUAAAGCGUGCGUAGGCUGUUUCGUAAGUCGUGUGUGAAAGGCGCGGGCUCAACCCGCGGACGGCACAUGAUACUGCGAGACUAGAGUGAUGGAGGGGGAACCGGAAUUCUCGGUGUAGCAGUGAAAUGCGUAGAUAUCGAGAGGAACACUCGUGGCGAAGGCGGGUUCCUGGACAUUAACUGACGCUGAGGCACGAAGGCCAGGGGAGCGAAAGGGAUUAGAUACCCGUGUAGUC